UGGGGAAUAUUGCACAAUGGGCGCAAGCCUGAUGCAGCCAUGCCGCGUGUAUGAAGAAGGCCUUCGGGUUGUAAAGUACUUUCAGCGGGGAGGAAGGGAGUAAAGUUAAUACCUUUGCUCAUUGACGUUACCCGCAGAAGAAGCACCGGCUAACUCCGUGCCAGCAGCCGCGGUAAUACGGAGGGUGCAAGCGUUAAUCGGAAUUACUGGGCGUAAAGCGCACGCAGGCGGUUUGUUAAGUCAGAUGUGAAAUCCCCGGGCUCAACCUGGGAACUGCAUUCGAAACUGGCAGGCUGGAGUCUUGUAGAGGGGGGUAGAAUUCCAGGUGUAGCGGUGAAAUGCGUAGAGAUCUGGAGGAAUACCGGUGGCGAAGGCGGCCCCCUGGACAAAGACUGACGCUCAGGUGCGAAAGCGUGGGGAGCAAACAGG
rnacentral:rRNA from 1 species